UCCCUGGCUCAGGACGAACGCUGGCGGCGUGCCUAAUACAUGCAAGUCGAGCGGAAUGAUGAAGAAGCUUGCUUCUUCUGAUUUUAGCGGCGGACGGGUGAGUAACACGUGGGCAACCUACCUUGUAGAUUGGGAUAACUCCGGGAAACCGGGGCUAAUACCGAAUAAUCCAUUUUGCUUCAUGGCAAGAUGUUGAAAGGCGGCUUCGGCUGUCACUACGAGAUGGGCCCGCGGCGUAUUAGCUAGUUGGUAGGGUAAUGGCCUACCAAGGCGACGAUACGUAGCCGACCUGAGAGGGUGAUCGGCCACACUGGGACUGAGACACGGCCCAGACUCCUACGGGAGGCAGCAGUAGGGAAUCUUCCACAAUGGACGAAAGUCUGAUGGAGCAACGCCGCGUGAGUGAAGAAGGUUUUCGGAUCGUAAAACUCUGUUGUAAGGGAAGAACACGUACGAGAGUAACUGCUCGUACCUUGACGGUACCUUAUUAGAAAGCCA
rnacentral:rRNA from 1 species